AGGCACGUGUGGUUGGGAGUUCACACCAAGUAACAUGUGACAUAAAGAAGUGUUCUCUCCCUGAUACGCAAGCAGAAGAUAAAUGAUCCCCAUGAUAAUUAUAGUUCUGGUGGCCACAGCGGCAGCACAAGUUAGUGCUACGUUCUGUAAUCUCACUGAGGAGAGUGGAAAUCAUCAAUGCUAUGGGGCUGUGGGAGAAUGUUUGUCCUUACAUCUGACUGCAAACAGGGCUGAAGAAAGAAUUACAUUGAAGAAAGGUGAUAAUCGUAUUCUGAACUUCCAAACUGGAGAAGACUGGAGAUCUAAAUUGCAUCAGGAUUAUGUGAAUCGCUCCGAGUUCUUAAAUAACACCACAUUCAGGCUGGACAGUGUUAUAGAGGAUGACUCUGGAGAUUACCAAUUGAAUAUAUUUAAUUCAGAGGGAACACAGUUGCGGAGAGUCAACAUGCAACUUGAGAUACAAGGUACAGAAGCGUUUUUUAUAUAGAGAAUCAUGUAUCCUGUAGUAAGGGAG